rnacentral:rRNA from 1 species
UACACCGGUGGUCCCACCUGACCCCAUGCCGAACUCAGAAGUGAAACGCCGUAGCGCCGAUGGUAGUGUGGGGUCUCCCCAUGUGAGAGUAGGGA